AACGAACGCUGGCGGCGCGCCUAAUACAUGCAAGUCGAGCGAGAAGACGUAGCAAUACGUUUGUAAAGCGGCGAACGGGUGAGGAAUACAUGGGGUAACCUACCCUCGAGUGGGGAAGUAACUAGCCGAAAGGUUAGCUAAUACCGCGUACGCUCCUUGGACUUCGGUUCGAGGGAGGGAAAGCGAUACCGUGGGUAUCGCGCUCUUGGAUGGGCUCAUGUCCUAUCAGCUUGUUGG
rnacentral:rRNA from 1 species